GAUGAACGCUGGCGGCGUGCUUAAUACAUGCAAGUCGAACGAAGCACCUCUCCCGAAGAUAGACCCAGCUUGCUGGGAAUUGAUUCAUUUGAGGUGACUGAGUGGCGGACGGGUGAGUAACGCGUGGGUAACCUGCCUUAUACAGGGGGAUAACAGUUGGAAACGACUGCUAAUACCGCAUAAGCGCACAGUACCGCAUGGUACAGUGUGAAAAACUCCGGUGGUAUAAGAUGGACCCGCGUCUGAUUAGCUAGUUGGUGAGGUAACGGCUUACCAAGGCAACGAUCAGUAGCCGACUUGAGAGAGUGAUCGGCCACAUUGGGACUGAGACACGGCCCAAACUCCUACGGGAGGCAGCAGUAGGGAAUAUUGCACAAUGGGGGAAACCCUGAUGCAGCGACGCCGCGUGAAGGAUGAAGUAUUUCGGUAUGUAAACUUCUAUCAGCAAGGAAGAA
rnacentral:rRNA from 1 species